rnacentral:rRNA from 1 species
UACGAAGGGGGCUAGCGUUGCUCGGAAUUACUGGGCGUAAAGCGCACGUAGGCGGCUUUCUAAGUCGGGGGUGAAAUCCUGGAGCUCAACUCCAGAACUGCCUUCGAUACUGGAAAGCUUGAGUCCGGGAGAGGUGAGUGGAACUGCGAGUGUAGAGGUGAAAUUCGUAGAUAUUCGCAAGAACACCAGUGGCGAAGGCGGCUCACUGGCCCGGUACUGACGCUGAGGCACGAAAGCGUGGGGAGCAAACAGG